AUAUUGUGAUUAUGACACCUUCAUAGUAAUAACUUAAACCUCUCCCAUGCGUCAUACAAGGAUUAUGUUUCUUAUUGCUUAAAUUUAGAAAUAUCAUUCCUUCGUUC